rnacentral:rRNA from 1 species
AGAAAUUAAGGGUUGUAGGGGGAUGCCUUGGCAUCAACAGGCGACGAAGGACGCGUAUACCUGCGAUAAUCCUCGGUGAGCUGGAAAUAGCUUUGACCCGGGGGAGUCCGAAUGGGGAAACCCAGCAAGAGUAAUGUCUUGCUAUCCUGUACUGAAUACAUAGGUACAGGAGGCGAUACCUGCUGAAGUGAAACAUCUCAGUAAGCAGAGGAAAAGAAAUCAAACGAGAUUUUCCUAGUAGCGGCGAGCGAACGGGAAAUAGCCCAAACCAGUGGAUUUUCUGCUGGGGUUGUAGGACCGACAUAACGAGAUUGCCCCUCUUAGUUGAAUAACCUGGAAAGGUUAACGAUACAUGGUGAUAGUCCAGUAGACGAAAAGAGGGAUUUUCUUAGUUGGUAUCCUGAGUAGGGCCGAGCACGUGAAACUCGGUCUGAAUCUGGGGAGACC